rnacentral:rRNA from 1 species
CCGGCGCACGGGUGAGUAACACGUAUGCAACCUGCCUGCCACAGCCGGAUAAUCGGGAGAAAUUCCGCCUAAUACGGCAUAAUGCAUCGACGGGACAUCCUGUUGGUGCCAAAGGUUAAUUCCGGUGGCGGAUGGGCAUGCGUCGCAUUAGUUAGUUGGCGGUGUAACGGACCACCAAGACGACGAUGCGUAGGGGUUCUGAGAGGAAGGUCCCCCACACUGGUACUGAGACACGGACCAGACUCCUACGGGAGGCAGCAG